rnacentral:rRNA from 1 species
UACGGAGGGUGCGAGCGUUGUCCGGAAUCACUGGGCGUAAAGGGCGCGUAGGUGGCGCGGGCAGUCAACGGUGAAAGUUCGGGGCUCAACCCUGAAUCGGCCGUCGAUACUCCCGAGCUGGAGCACUGUAGAGGCUCAUGGAAUUCCGGGUGUAGCGGUGGAAUGCGUAGAGAUCGGAAAGAACACCAACGGCGAAAGCACUCUGCGGGGCCGACACUGACACUGAGAGACGAAAGCUAGGGGAGCGAAUGGG